CUUCCAACAACAGUAACUCCAAAACCACAAACAACUGUUUGCAAAUGCAGACAAGUAACUCCAGCUAAACGCCGCCCAACCAGAGGUCUGUCGUGCAGUGCAGUAAUAUGGGCGCCUCUGGCAGCUUUAAUUGCUUUUCUACUGAUAUUCCUGGGAUAUUGCAUUUUUCAUACACAUCGCAUCUACAAGAGAUCACGUCUUUUUUUCAAGAAACGG